AUAAACGAAAGAAAGAAAAGGGGAAAACGGGUCUGCUUCAGAAAACGCAGAAAGGGAUUUCAAAGGGAGAGGAAGAAGAAGAAAAAAAAAGGCUGGAACCAAACCUUGAGAAAUCUUAAAUACGCGCUGAUUUUGCGGGGGUUGCCUUAACUUUGUAGAGACAAACCUCUCGUGAACUCGGCUAUCUAGUUUGCACGAAAGACGCCCUGUUUGCCCCCUUUUUUGCGAACCUCAGAGAUGGAUGAAAACUUUAUCAUCUUUUUUAGUUAAUAGGUAGCGUGUAUGUAGUUUCUGCCCUGGCUGUUUUACAACCAUCUGAUGUUUAUACUGGAAGGUUCUAGUUCUGAUUAUCUGACUAGUUGAUCAGAUUGUUCAACCAAUUUCUAUCGCUCAUUGCACUCAUCAGUUGGUACGUGAAUACUCUAAUGUUUUUGUCCUUACACUCAAAGGAGCUGUCAAUAAGUUCACAUUGAUGCUUUGCGACUUGUUGUCAAUUAGUUUUAGUCCUUACAGCUGCUGUGAUGCCUUAUGAAGACAAAUAUUUUUCGUGACCUUAAAUUGUUUAAGGAAGACAAUGGUAGAAUCUUCUUCUGAUUUUCAAUGUUUUAAAUAGUAUAGCUGCAGUGCAAGUGUAAUCUUAGAUUGCUUUUAUAGUGAAUACUCAAUUUUUGAGACAAAAGUGUUAGAUUCUCACUUCACUUGUAUGUGCUUCUUUGUGAGAUUGUUUUUUGAGUGGGAUGUAGAUCAACUAACUGAAUCAUGCUAAAUAUUUGUCUCUUUUCCUAUAUUUCU